UAGGUUAGAAGUAGGAAGGCAGGUAGGGUAGGAGAGGGUAGGUUAGGUUAGAAGUAGGAAGGCAGGUAGGGUAGGAGAGGGUAGGUUAGGUUAGAA